rnacentral:rRNA from 1 species
AACGAACGCUGGCGGCAGGCUUAACACAUGCAAGUCGAACGCAUCGCAAGAUGAGUGGCAGACGGGUGAGUAACGCGUGGGAACAUACCCUUUUCUACGGAAUAGCUCUGGGAAACUGGAAUUAAUACCGUAUACGCCCUACGGGGGAAAGAUUUAUCGGGGAAGGAUUGGCCCGCGUUGGAUAAGCUAGUUGGUGGGGUAAAGGCCUACCAAGGCGACGAUCCAUAGCUGGUCUGAGAGGAUGAUCAGCCACAUUGGGACUGAGACCCGGCCCAAACUCCUACGGGAGGCAGCAGUGGGGAAUAUUGGACAAUGGGCGCAAGCCUGAUCCAGCCAUGCCGCGUGAGUGAUGAAGGCCUUAGGGUUGUAAAGCUCUUUCACCGAUAAAGAUAAUGACGGUAGUCGGAGAAGAAGCCCCGGCUAACUUCGUGCCAGCCGCCGCCGUAAAAC